UGACUUGUGUAACCAAGUGGAUACUGGUUCCAUUUAUUGAGAACCAGGUUUGAGAGAGAAGGUCACUGCUUUUGAAUGUUCAAGUGCUUGGAGACAUUUAGUAGCCAGUUAGACACAAAACUAGAAUACAAAGAAAUUCUUUCUAGAAAUACAUAUUUUGGUUCAUUUAUAUACCAUAAAUAACUAUAUAUGAGAUAUAACAUACAUUUCCCCCUAUUUAAACUAUUCUGAUAUCACUCAACAACUCCUUAGAACUAUCAAGAAGAAUUAAGGACACGCGACCAAAGUAUUUGAAAACUGACAAAUUCUGUAUAUGUCUUCUCUUAUUCAUCUAUUUAUCUUACAUUCUAAGAAAUUUCACAAUUGCUAAUUAUAAAAAGAUUAUUGUCAAGCAGAUAGAAACAGAAUCUAUAAAGAAAUAACAUAGUGUGUGUAUCAGGACAGGUGUUUCUGAAUUAGGGAAAGCAAGACAUUUCUACAUUAACAGAUUCAAUAGUACUGAUACUUUCAAAUGCACAAACAGGAUUCCAUCCAAUUAGAUCUUCAAAAUUCCUUUGUGAUUUAUCAACUCCUAUUUCCUACAGUUUCUCUCAUCUAAUUCCUCCUGACAGCAAAGCAAAGACAGACCAAGGUAGAUGAAAUCAGGAUUCUGAACACAUCCCUAAGAAGUUGUUAGCUCCUUAGGGUAGCCAGCGCUGAGGUUAAAGGUCUGAAAGAGAUGUUAGGCAUGCCCAUUGUUCUUCUGUUGCUGCUUAGCAGCAUCAGGUUUAUUACUGGUACAGAAAAAAAUUUUUUUUAUUUACUUCAGCACUUGUUUUCUGCAGGUAAGGAUGAAAAAAGGAAAAGGACCAUGCUAUGCAUUAAUAAAUUGUGAUGUGGUUUAAGUGGUUAUGUUAGCUAUCAGUCUAUAUACACUCACUAUAAAAACUAUUUUUAAAUGUUAUUUAUGUGCUCUGAUCCUCACCCUUAUCCUAUUUUAGUUUUUUAUGGACCCCACAUAAUUAUUUACAGAAAUAAGCCAUUCCACUAAAUUUACUUCAAUGAACAGUAAGCCUUGCAUGUAAUUGCCCAAGUUUUGCCACUCAGUAGGCGGACUCCAGGUGUCUUCACUUUCUUAUUCUAUAAAAUGGACUUAAAACAGUGGACUUAAAACAGAAUCUAUAUGAUAGGGCAUUGAACAAUUAAAUGAGUUACUAUGUGUACAGUACUCUAUAUUGUGCCUGAUAGAGUCAAAAUGAAAUCUUUUAUUACACUAAAUUAAUUUCAAAGUGUUGACAUAUAUAUCUACAAUGGUUUUAAUAAUGAUUCAUUUUGAGUACAAUUUUGAAGUUGUUACUCAGCAAUAACAGCUAAUACUUACUGAGCACUUAACAUUAACUAAGCACCCCACAUGGGGCUCUUCUCCUAACCACUAAAGAACUGGAAUCAGGUAUUUCUCCUUCUUUCCUCCAUCUUUGCCCAAAAUUAUUGAAGCAACUCCCUUCUUACUCUCUAUACUCUUCAUCUCCAAGCUGUAAAGUCAACCAACUAACCAACGAAGCAACCUACUUCUAGUCCACCUACAUACUAACUGUUGGCUUCAAAAAGGUCCAGCAAGGACCAGACUGGUGCUAGUUACUAUGAGACAUCCAACUUGGGAUCUGGCACACAAUGGGCACUCAAGCAGUAGGUGAGUGGUCAAGCAAAAACAAAACAAACAAACUUGAAUACCUACUUGCCAGCCUAUCUGAUACAAGCAGCUUUCACUAACAAAUGGGCUUUUUCAUUUUUAUAAUUUUAAAUUAAUAGAAAAAGGUUAGACAGUAAUGAAGUAGUUAAGAAUGAAGGAACUGAUCUAGGAUGAGAUCCAGGAAAUAAAAGAAUAGAGAGAAAAGCAAACCUAAUACUAUCCUACUACCAUACCAUCUCCUUACCAGACAAGGAGAAAUAAUGUACUCCUGGUCUAUAUGUAUCAGUCCCAUAUAUAAAUUGGCAGGCUGGGCUCUCCACAGGCCAAAGCAUAACGAAACUCUAAAUUUUAAAAUUUCAAUGAAAAUUUUAGAAAUAAGGUUCUUUGAUUCAUUUUAAUGUGCACUUUAAUUUGUUUUAAGCUUUUGGUAAAGCUUUCCCCCCUUUCUUUCCUUCCCUUCCUUUUUGCUUUUGAACACAGGAUUUGAGCCAAUCUCCAAGUGGGCCUAUCUGUGCAUUUGUAAGUGAAACAACUUACAUCAUGCCUAAUGAGAGUAAUUUUUUUGUCAAGCUGCAUUUCUAUGGAUAAUUUAUGACACUUCUCCCACAAUUAGUCUACAAGUAUAUAUAAAAGUAAUUUGUAAUUUAGGUUACCAAUACAAACCCCCCCCCCACACACAAAAGUGGAACACAGAAAAAAGAGACAUUUGUAAUAGCCCUGUAUUAUUUCUUAGGCAUAUACCCCCCCAAAAAAAAAUGCUUAAGCGGAAGACAAUAACAUUGUAUCGCCAUACUUUAAACAUGCUAAAAUAAUAAAGUGAAAACAUUCGUGGAAUGUAGGUUCCAGCUCUCAGUAGAAAACUAAAACAAACUCUAAGAAAAUAAAACAACAAAUCUUGGUAUUUUAAGUGCACAAAUUAAAGUUCCACCAAAUUUCACUUAAAAACUUAUCACAAUCAAAAUGAGGUCAAUUAGAAGUACUGAGCUGAAAAGUUGUCCUCAGUACAUAUUGUGGACUAACAUUUUAUAGCUGAUAAAAGAAACAAAAAAUAUAUACUGAAAUGAGAUUAGAAAAAAGUGUCAAAGGAUACACCCUGUUAGAAUUGGUUAUUUCAGAAAAGUGAUUAAAAAUAAGGGGAAGAGCAAAUGAUUCUCUCCCCUCUUUGGGUGACAUGCUUCUAUCUGUAUAAUGUGUCUUGUUAUAACAAGCUAGCACUUAUUUUAAAUAGAAGAGAACCUUAAAAGAAAAAGUGAACGAUACAGAAAAAGCGAGAUACGUUCAUAAACUCCAAGUAUUUAAUAAGAAGUCAGCCUAUUUCAAGAUGUGUUUCUAAGAUGUAAUAUUUAUUUUGCAAGUGUAACUUAAUAUUAGCAUAUUAAAUACUUAAUAAAAUUUAGUGAAUUUCCUCUAUAUCCUUCCCCCCAAAAAGAACACACUUCCCUAAACCGACUUAGCUGAAGGAUAAUAUGCUGCCCUUUCAAUAUCUUAUUAAUUUUAAAUGGGCAUACGUGUAGAUUCAUGUUCAACAGGAAAAUCCUACAAAGCAUUUCACAGGCAAAUAAAAUCCUAUUCUACAGCAUUAGUACAAAUGAAGAGAGAAAACUGGAAGAAGACCAGUUAUGAGAUUACAGAAGUAAUCUUAGUCUCAGAUAAUCAUAAUGUCCUGAGCUACAACAGGAUCAGAAAGGAUGAACAGGUAAAUGAACAGGACUUUGUAAAUGACAGGGCCAAGAAUAGAAGUGUUUGUCUCCAAGACUUUCAUUCAGGGUGACUGGGAAGACAGUGAUACCAUGAAAUAAUGUUAUAAACCUAGUAGAUAUAGGUUAUAAAGAAAAAAGAAUCACUUUAUUUAAAAAAAAAUGCCUUUCACUAUGCUAGAUUUUUUUAGAACAAAUAUCUUUAUUGGUUAGUAAAAAUUAUAAUUAAUGGCCAUAUUUUAAAGAGCAUGUAUAUCUCUGUAUUACUUCCUCAGAAUAAAAUAAUCAUAAAACCAGAAGAAAUUCUAAACAUGUUUAUGUUAUACAGAAGUCUACCAUUUAACUACCAGAACCAGCUCAGUAAGAGACAUCAAUAUGUGGAUGUCUCUUAGUCUUCCCAUGUGCCCCAUUGGACUGAUCUUUUUUUCCCUCAAGAAGAAUAAACACUGAGAUCAGAGCAAUGAAUGAGCACACUAUAAGUAACUUUAUCAGCACAGAUUCUUGUUCUGGUGAGAAUCACUAUAAAUCUACAAGUAUUGCUCUUAUUGUAGGACUGACUCAUCAACAAGGUAUUAUCAUAAGAAAUCACCACUAACAUCUAUCAAUACACCAGUUAAU